rnacentral:rRNA from 1 species
GACGAACGCUGGCGGCGUGCUUAACACAUGCAAGUCGAACGGAAAGGCCCUGCUUUUGUGGGGUUCUCGAGUGGCGAACGGGUGAGUAACACGUGAGUAACCUGCCCUUGACUUUGGGAUAACUUCAGGAAACUGGGGCUAAUACCGGAUAGGAGCUCCUGCUGCAUGGUGGGGGUUGGAAAGUUUCGGCGGUUGGGGAUGGACUCGCGGCUUAUCAGCUUGUUGGUGGGGUAGUGGCUUACCAAGGCUUUGACGGGUAGCCGGCCUGAGAGGGUGACCGGCGACAUUGGGACUGAGAUACGGCCCAGACUCCUACGGGAGGCAGCAGUGGGGAAUAUUGCACAAUGGGCGGAAGCCUGAUGCAGCGACGCCGCGUGCGGGAUGACGGCCUUCGGGUUGUAAACCGCUUUCGCCUGUGACGAAGCGUGAGUGACGGUAAUGGAUAAAGAAGCACCGGCUAACUACGUG